rnacentral:rRNA from 1 species
CUACGAAGGGGGCUAGCGUUGUUCGGAAUUACUGGGCGUAAAGCGCACGUAGGCGGAUAUUUAAGUCAGGGGUGAAAUCCCAGAGCUCAACUCUGGAACUGCCUUUGAUACUGGGUAUCUUGAGUAUGGAAGAGGUAAGUGGAAUUCCGAGUGUAGAGGUGAAAUUCGUAGAUAUUCGGAGGAACACCAGUGGCGAAGGCGGCUUACUGGUCCAUUACUGACGCUGAGGUGCGAAAGCGUGGGGAGCAAACAGGAUUAGAAACCCCAGUAGUCC